AUGCUCACAUUCCCCAUUGUAAUUGUGCAAAUGACAAAUAUAUGCCUUUUGACUUGAAUAGAAGUUUGGCUCCAGGACACAAGUAUGGCCCCUGCGGCCCUUUAAGACUGGGAGGCGCUUGAGUGCAGUUCAACACACACGCCUGACGCUCCGCUCGACGCCCAGGAAGAGAAACAGCCACACAAAUAUCGCCACAAGUUUAAAUAUGUCGCUUCAUUUGUUGUUUUAACGUGUAUUCUGUCGUAUACAUGUUCCUGUAGUCGUAUUUAGGGUAAUAAUGCUGGAUGGUUGGACUAAUGAAGUUCAGUUUGGAUUUCUGCCGGUUACUGGGGCUCAGCGGCUCCAGUGAUGAGAGGCCAGAGGAGAUGGACACAGGUGCCCUCCCCGGGCAGAAUGACGACACACUCUCACAGGAUGUCUUAAAUGGUGAGGAGGGUCUUAGUGAUGAGGAGAAGGCCAGACGGAAAGCAGAGAGGCGCAAAGCCAAGAGGAAGCGUCAACGGCAGCGGAAGAAACUAGAGCGGGUUAAAAAGGAUGAAAGUACUGAACAGGGGGAGGAGAAUGCUGGAGCUGAUUCUGAACUCGAUGAGUCUGAGGACUCUGAGUCAGAGGAGGUGGAAGUUAUUGGCCUUUCAAAGGUGGAAGAGAAGCCUGUCACUCCUCCAAGUACAAGUCCUUCCGGACCUCCACUGGCUUCAGGGAACAAAAGCAACCGGCAGCCGACGGCCCGUUCUAGUGAGGAGGACCCAGGGUGGGAUGUGAACAGUGCUUUUGUUGCCAAUGCUGUCAGUCACAUUCGACCCAAAGCUAAAAGUAAAGGAGCUUACAAGUCGAAAGAGAACAAGGAAAAUGAGAGCAGGACUGGAGAAGACAUUGGCUUAUCAGAUGCUAAAACUAAAAGAAGUGCCUUACUAGUAGAAAAAGGGAUUCACUUCGUUCAGGAGGGCCAGUACACACAAGCGGUUAGUCUGUUUACAGAGGCCAUCAAAUGCGACCCGAAAGAUUACAGGUUUUUUGGGAAUCGCUCCUACUGCUAUUGUUGUCUGGAGCAGUACCCUCUGGCCCUCGCAGAUGCUGAGAAGUCCAUUCAGAUUGCUCCUGAUUGGCCCAAAGGCUAUUACCGUAGGGGAAGUGCACUUAUGGGGCUUAAGAGGUACAGUGAAGCUGAGAAAGCCAUGGAACAGGUGCUAAAACUAGACCAAGAUUGUGAAGAAGCCGUCAAUGACCUCCUGUACUGUAAAGUGCAACAACUUACGGAUCUUGGAUAUGAUGAGGAGCAGAGUAUUCAGUUGCUGGAAAAAUACAAUACAGUGCAGGCUGUUGUUGCAGCGAAGGCAUCAAAUCAGGACUGUGCUCUCCUCCAGCCAGGUCCUUGCAAUUCCUUGUGGGUGGGCAACGUGACCACAGAACUGACAGAGAAACAUCUGCGGGACCUUUUCAAAAUAAUGCCAACAUGGCCUCCCGUGCAAUGGAGAACCUCAAUGGACAUUUUAUUGAGAAUACCCGGCUAGUGGUUCGAUAUCCAGAUCGACGGAUUCAGAAAGUCCUCCCAACACCAGCCAUUCAACAACCUGCAGGGGCUGCUGGGCCAAGACGCAGAGGUCCCGUCAACGGAGAUGAGUGUUACUUCUGGAGGACCACCGGUUGUCAUUUUGGAGAUAGGUGUCGCUAUAAGCACAUUCCCGAUCACCGAGGCAAAGACUGGCAACCUUGAGUCAACACUAGCCUCUAUUCCUCUCCCUAAGAACUCUGGGAGUUGACUGCAUGACUGUAGGGACUGUAAUCUUCACUUUGAUUAUCUGUAGGUCAGGACCAGUAUUGUGGAUCAGCGUCUUACGAAAGCUCUCUUGAGGUCUGAGUGCUUUGAACAUCACGAGGUUUCAAAGCAGACAGAACUAUGGGAAAAGUGUCUCUUUUGAGGUGAGGUUUGGGUGGUGCAGAGUGGCAGAGCAUCGCUGCACCGCAUCGCCGUCUGCUGAGGUUUACAUGGCCUCUUAUAUCGUAGGCUCUCUUCUCUCUUCCUGUGCCAACACCACCAACCCAAAGAAGAGCCGUAGAUCUGAUCUGACAUUUGAGUUCAUCCUGAGAGAAUGACUGUCAUUCUACAUUUGAGGUCACAAACCCUCAAAAUGAGGAUGGGAGAAUCGUACCAAAGAAUAAUACUACGCCAUAUGUGGAUUUUACAAUAAGAGAGAGAGAGAAAAAGCAAUCAGGGAAAAUUUGCUUUUUAGUUUUGCGUGUGUUUUGAUUUUAUUCCACCACCUCAAACACACUCCAGCAGUUCAUUCAUCAUGUUUGUAGCCAUUUCUAAUUGGACUAAAGAUGUUUUCCCCACUACUUCUCUCAAACGGCCCUAAAUUCAAGACCUGUUAGGGAAUAUCAGUAUUGCAAAGGGUUAGAGCAAUUGUUUGAAUCUUUCACAUAUGAAUUACAUCUCGUGAUUAAUUGAAAAUAAUUUUUCUUUUUGAUUUUCUUGCAGUCUUGCACUUUACCAUGGUGGAUCCCCCAAGAGUAGAUGUGAGAAUUGUGUUGCUAAAGGUAUUGAUGAACUGUGGUCAUCAGUGGUAUUUUUUUCAUGGUAUUUUCUAAUGGCGUCGUUGCCAUUUAGAUAUUAUUUACAUGUAUCUAUAAAUAUGAACAUGCUUUUACAUUCAUGUCAUCACAAGCACAGUUUUCAGUAGUAGAUUGUGUCAUGCUGCUCCACACAAUGCAGAAAAUCUUGUGGUUUUCUGUGUAUCUUAUGCAAGAGCUCUGAGACACAGGAAACUCUUGGCACUUUUCAUGCCGUCAGCACAAAAUUGACCGGGCGGUUUUCAUCAUUUCCUCUUUUAUUUAACGUUCUUGCUCUAGGUUUAGUGUAAAAGAAGGAAGUUGGCUGUUUGAAAUGGCUUGUCAUGUCUUCCACCUCAUGAUAUUUUCUUGUAGAACAGCAUGCACAUAUUUUUUUUUUUUUUUUUUAAUAUUAUUGUAGGUAUGGUAAUGAUUUCAUCAAGCAAUAUUGCAAUGCAUUUGAAAACUCUUAUGACCUCAUUGUGCUGUUCUGACACACUUAACCAAAGAAACACUAAUGUUUACCUAGUGUACCACAGACAAACACAUCAGCUACUUUUGUACAUCACACUAUUUAGGACUUUUUCCUCAAUUUUUAGUUAUGACUGCAUGGGCUUUCAUGCAGUCUGUAGUCACACUAGUGCUGAAUUGGGCUUUAAACGUCAUUUCUUUUGGCUUCAGGAUAGUUCAGAGUUCCUUAAGCAUUUGCUUUCCUAGCAGAUGAGGUUUUUUUUUUUAUUAUUAUUAUUAUUAUUUUUUUUUUGCAUUAAUAUUUAAGCUGAGGUCCCCCAUGAACAGAAAGGAGGUGACUUUUUUUAUUUUUUUUAUUUUAGGCUGUGAAGUAGGGGACAAACUGAGUAAUACAGGAACAUGUCUGUCACAUGUUGAUUUGGGAUGGAAGCGUACAGCUGUGGUUCUCAUUAUUCUUAUUUUUUUUUUUUUUUUUUUUUUUUUUUUUAAGACCGUGUGUUCAAAUAAAUGACAUUGACAACAGCGACUAUUCCUCACUGUUGUGCUGCAUUAAAGGACAUUUAACACUCAAAUGGAGGAUUUUCUAUGUCAUUUUGCUUGUGAAAUCUUUAACAGAGUUUUGCUGAUCAUCCAUCUCCACAUAAUGAAAUUGAGGGUCACAGUCUCCAUUUUCUCUCUAUUCGCUCUGUUCUAUUCAUGUUUUCUUUUUUUCCUCUUUUUAGCAUGGCAAUGGAAAAAGUCACUGUAAUAAAUGUAUUGAACCUUUA